CCUACGGGAGGCAGCAGUGAGGAAUAUUGGUCAAUGGGCGCGAGCCUGAACCAGCCAAGCCGCGUGAGGGAGGACGGCCCUACGGGUUGUAAACCCCUUUUGCCGGGGAGCAAAGGGCGCCAUGUGUGGCGUCACUGAGAGUACCCGCAGAAAAAGCAUCGGCUAACUCCGGGCCAGCGGCCGCGGUAUUACGGAGGAUGCGAGCGUUAUCCGGAUUUAUUGGGUUUUAAGGGUGCGUAGGCGGAUCGUUAAGUCAGUGGUCAAAUUGUGGGGCUCAACCCCUUCCCGCCAUUGAAACUGGCGUUCUUGAGUGGAAGAGAAGUAUGCGGAAUGCGUGGUGUAGCGGUGAAAUGCAUAGAUAUCACGCAGAACCCCGAUUGCGAAGGCAGCAUGCCGGCUUCCGACUGACGCUGAGGCACGAAAGCGUGGGGAUCGAACAGGAUUAGAUACCCCUGUAGUC
rnacentral:rRNA from 1 species